rnacentral:lncRNA from 1 species
CCUUUCUCUUUAGAGUUCCCUCGGAUUUAGCCCGUUGGACUGGUGAUGCCUGGGGGAUUCUCUUCAUAAUUAUUGGAAACCUCCAGGCAUUAAAGCUGGCUCUGUUCUAUGGACACCAUCCCCGGCCUCUUUUCUGAACCUUAGUAGUCACUGGAACACUAGCAGGAUAUGAGAGUGGGGACAAGACUGGGAGAGGUGGAAAGGAGAGAGAUAAGGCGUUCAAAGAGAUGGUGUUUUGCUUAUUUUUGUAAAACAUGGGAGAUAUUCGAGCAUGCUUUUAAGUAUUAGGGAGGGCAGUGGAUGCACAGCUGUAAGUACUGGAAAGGGGAUAACAGAUGAAGCAAGGUCUCAGUUUGGGGGAAGAUGGGAAGGGUUCGGAUCAAGAGCACAGGUGGACAGACCAACUCAGAACAGAAAAUGGAUCAUCUUCUCUCAGCUUUGAAGGUACAAGGUGAGGACACGUGCAAGCCCAGGUGAUUCCUUGAGUAUAGGAGUGGAAAGUGAAAGGAGUUUACAUCUGGAGCCUAGUUUUCCUCUGCUAAGUAGCAGGUGAGAUUUUAUCUGGGGACAGAGAGAGAGAGAGAGAGAGAGAGCAUGAGAGACUGAUUCUAAGGAAUUGACUCACAUAAUUGUGGAGGCUGGGGCAAGUCCAAAAACCUGCAGGGUAACCUGGCAGGCUGGAGACCCAUAGAAGGGUUAAUGUUGCGACUUGAGUCCAGAGGCAAUCUAAGGCAGAAUUCCCUUCUCCUUCUGGGGACUUCACUCUGUUUUCAAGUAAGCAUUUCUUCAACUGAUUAAAUGAGGCCCACCUGUAUUACAGAGGGUAAUUUGUUUUACUCAAAGUCUACUGAUUUAAAUAUUAACCUCAUCUUUAAAAAAAUAUUUUUACAGCAACAUUCAGACUGGUGUUUGACCAAAUAUCUGGGCACCAUCGCUUAGCCAAGUUGACACAUAAAAUUAGACCAUCA